GCGCCCGUAGCUCAAUUGGAUAGAGCAACGGCCUUCUAAGCCGUAGGUUGCAGGUUCGAGCCCUGCCGGGCGUGCCA
rnacentral:tRNA from 1 species